rnacentral:rRNA from 1 species
AUUGAACGCUGGCGGCAUGCUUUACACAUGCAAGUCGAACGGUAACAGGCCUUCGGGUGCUGACGAGUGGCGAACGGGUGAGUAAUGCAUCGGAACGUACCCAGAGGUGGGGGAUAACGCAGCGAAAGCUGUGCUAAUACCGCAUGUGAUCUGAGGAUGAAAGCGGGGGACCGAGCAGCAAUGUUUGGCCUCGCGCCUUUGGAGCGGCCGAUGUCGGAUUAGCUAGUUGGUGGGGUAAAGGCCUACCAAGGCGACGAUCCGUAGCUGGUCUGAGAGGACGACCAGCCACACUGGGAGUGAGACACGGCCCAGACUCCUACGGGAGGCAGCAGUGGGGAAUUUUGGACAAUGGGCGCGAGCCUGAUCCAGCAAUGCCGCGUGCGGGAAGAAGGCCUUCGGGUUGUAAACCGCUUUUGGCAGGAACGAAACGGUGUCCGCUAAUACCGGGCGCUAAUGACGGUACCUGCAGAAUAAGCACCGGCUAACUACGUG